UACGGGGGGGGCAAGCGUUGUUCGGAAUUACUGGGCGUAAAGGGCUCGUAGGCGGCCAACUAAGUCAUACGUGAAAUCCCUCAGCUUAACUGGGGAACUGCAUGUGAUACUGGAUGGCUUGGAUUUGGGAGAGGGAUGCGGAAUUCCAGGUGUAGCGGUGAAAUGCGUAGAUAUCUGGAGGAACACCGGUGGCGAAGGCGGCAUCCUGGACCAAUAUUGACGCUGAGGAGCGAAAGCCAGGGGAGCAAACGGG
rnacentral:rRNA from 1 species